CCUGUUAGAAAAGUCGGGGAUGAGCUGUGGCUAGGGGUGAAAGGCCAACCAAACUCGGAGAUAGCUGGUUCUCCGCGAAAUCUAUUGAGGUAGAUCGUCGAGUGGUUUACCCCGGGGGGUAGAGCACUGGAUGGGCGUAGGGGGCCCCAAAGGCUUACCAAACCUAACCAAAACUCCGAAUACCCGGAAGUAUAACUCGGCAGACAGACGGCGGGUGCUAAGGUCCGUCGUCGAGAGGGAAACAGCCCAGACCACCAGCUAAGGCCCCCAAAUCGUGGCUAAGUGGGAAAGGAUGUGGGAAUUCCAAAACAACCAGGAGGUUGGCUUAGAAGCAGCCAUCCUUUAAAGAAAGCGUAAUAGCUCACUGGUCUAAUAGAAAUCCUGCGCCGAAAAAUGUAACGGGGC
rnacentral:rRNA from 1 species